GAGCAGACCGGUCACUGUGUACUUGUUGCUGAAGACACGCUCGGCAGCCGUGUACCAGGUGGCGGUGCUUGCAUCCCGCUUCAUGAUGACGUAGUGAGCCUCACCGUCCUCCUGCACAUCUGGGCUGUGGUUCCAGCUAUCUGCCAAGUCCGAUGGAAGAUGAGUUGGGGCAAGUUUCAGGCAGCUGGUGUCUCGGAGUCGGAAAACUAUUUCUGAAGUGCUGCUCUGCCAUUUACUAGCCCUGUGACCUGGGGAACUCAAGCCACACUGGGGAGCUGUACUUUGGAGAAGUGUUCAGUGAUGGUUCCUGGAGGCCUCUGCCUUCUCUCCAUACCUGCCACGCGCACAUGGAUGUCAUAGUGUGCUUCUCCAAACUCAUUCUGGAGCAAGAUGCGGUACACCCCGGAGUCAGAGCGCUUGGUGCUAUUGAUGAGGAACUGCGAGUAGUUUUUGCUCUUGGCCAUACAGACAUCUAGCUGCUCCUCAACACUGUGAAGCAUUUAUUUGUUUUCUCAUCUGUCUCCUGCUAAUAUGCAAGACCCUGGAAGGCAAGUCCUGUGUCUUGUUUCUAUAUCCCUAACAUCUCCUUUUGAAACUGCCUUUGCAACUGUAGCAGUGAGAAAAUUAUGACAGUGAACCAGAUCUGGUCUAACCAACCCCCAUCUUGCCUUUAACCUCCAAACUGCCUGUAAACAUUCCUGGUCUCCGACCAAGCUAAUUUUGGGAGAGACAUUUAGUUUAUAGUUUAGAUGAUAACAAUCCUUCCCCCAAACUAAAUCACCUUUGCAAAGCCAGUGAAAGGCCACCAGGUUAGGAGGAUGCGAGGAGCCUGAAUUCUGCUAAGGUGUAGACAUAAAAGAUUAUCAGCCAUUAUUCCAGAGAUCACAAUAUUUGCAACUCCCCAAUUACUCCUGCAAAUAACAUCACUAUUGUAGAACCUUAGAUUGGUUUAUGAGAUGUUUUCCAGGUUUUUGCAUUUCUGAUGACUGAUGGCUCCACCUGGACCUGACUACACCCCACCCCACUGGUCCUGUGGCCCCACUGAGAAGCAGACUCCCUGGCCUCUGAAUUUUCGGGAAGUUGAUUUGGGUAAUAACUCUGUCUCUCACACGGCAUGGCUGACCUUGUGUCCAUUAAGCUCUUUGUUGCAAUGCUGUGGUCUCAGUGAACUGGUUUUGCCUGUGCAGUGGGCAGGAAGAACCCAUUGGGUGGUUAUACUUUGACACACGGUGGAUGCUGUUUGGCACACAAUGAUUGCUUUGGUAGGGGUGCCCCUGAAGUUACCUAGCUUUGUCCAGGCACAACAAGUAAGGAUGACUUUUUCAUGAUCCAAUUUUCCUGUGGGAUGAGGCCCCAGAGAAGAAGGUUUGGAGGUACGAUGUUGGGCAUGAAUCCCCAGCCCUCUCUGUGUCCUCACCUGGUGGUGGCAUGGCACGGACCCCCUUGUCUAGCUCCACAGGCUCCCCAACGCCAGCCUCAUUCACAGCCCGGAUACGGAAGAAGUAUUUCUGCCUCUCGGUGAGUCCUCCCACGGUGUAGCAGGUGCCUGAGAUGGGGAUCUUUGUGCACUUGGACCAUUCCUUGGUGUCUUCAGCCCUCAUCUCAAGGAUAUAGCCAGAGGGUGGGUCUCCCUCUGCAGGCUCCCGCCAGGCCAGGGAAAUGCUGGAGUUGGAGGAAUCGGAUACAUGCAGGUCCUGGACAAGGCCUGGGGGUUCUGGGGUAGAACAGACAUGUAGUCAGCCCCCCCAACUCAUCUCCACUCAAUGCCAUGGCCACUUCCCACACUCAAUACUCCUGAACCACAUCUUUCAUUACUUCUAGCUCCAGAUCCCUCAGUUAACGCCCUCAGUACCUAACCUUACACACUCAACCUCCAAAUUCAAAUUCAGUUAUCUUACUGUUUUAACACUUCUAUCCUUGAACUUGGUGCCCCUUAAAUUUAACAUACUCCACACAUUCAAAACUUCUAUAUUCAAACUUUAAUUCAGCCUGUAACCCAGCCAUCUCCACCACAUCCACUUUCAGGCAGUAGUACCCCUGCUUUGCUUCCUAACUGCAACGUUCUCCAACCAUCUGCCCCACACCCUUACUCAGCCCUCAGCAUGCCUCUGCUACCUCACCUAACCAGAAAUACACGAAGUUUAAAAAUGGCUUUGCACCCCACCUCCUCACUGUCCCUGACUAUCAGUCUUCAUCUUAUCAAGCUUUCUCUUGCUGUGUGAAUCUUGUUGCUCUAUGAGACUGGCAGUUUCCAGAGAGUGGAGACUGUGUAAUCUCUCCUGUCAUACUUUCCCAGGGAAGAAAUUCUUUCUCCACUUUGAAUGGGCUAAUUCCAUUAUGUGUAAGGACCUGGCAGCCCCAUACUCACUAACAGGAUCCUUGGCCACUACUGAGCUGGAUGGCACACUGGGCUGUCCAGGGCCUGCCUUAUUUACAGCUAUAACUCGGAAUUCAUAUUCUGUGUCCUCCAGGAGACCAUCCACAGUGCACUUGGUGCCUGAAAUUGGAAGUUGAGGGGUCAUGAGGCCAGAGGUAUCCAUGGGGUGAGAACAAGAGUGAGAGACAUAGAAGAGGAGGUCAGGGGAUGCUGUUAAAACUUCCAGAAGAGUUGGAGGAGGGACUGUGUCAGUAGUUAAUGGGUCCACUUAGCAAGACCUCCUUUGGUCCCUCCUGGGCCUCUAUCCCAAGGACCUCACCUUGGAUGGGGUCCCUGUUGACUGGCACCCACAGGUUGCUGCCUUUCUUCCUUCGUUCUACAAUGUAGCCAAGCACUGGGGCUCCCCCGUCCUGGGUAGGGGCAUUCCAUGUGAUAGUCACGGCCUCUUUAGUCACAUCAGUCACUUGAGGCUGGGAGGCAAAACCAGGAGGCUCUGUGGGGGACAGAGGAGCCGAAAGUUAGGAGGGGGAGUGCUGACCUCUGCCUCCCCUGCUUGAAAAAACUCAAGCCAGAGAUUCUUCUUUCUUUUUUAGAGACAAGGUCUCACUGUGUUGCCCAGAAUGAUCUUGAAUUCCUGGGCUCAAGUGAUCCUCCUGCCUCGGCCUUCCAAAGUGCUGGGAUUACAGGCAUGAGCCACAAUGCCUAGCACAAAUGAUUCUUAACUUUGCUUGCACAUUAACAUCAAGUGGGAAGUAAAAAUAAAAACAAAAAUGAAAAAACUCACCACCAACAACUAGUGCCUGGGUCCCACCUACCCAUACUCUAUGCCUGGGGUGAAGGGCAAGUAUUAGCAUUAUUAAGGAAACCAAGUGAUUCUAAUGUGUAGCCAACAUUCAGAAUCAGUGACAAACUUUCCCAUGGUGUGAUCAACAAUCCCAUCCUUCUCAAUCUACUGUCCUGACAAGAAGUUUUGGAGAUCAGUUUGGAGAGGUGUAGGAAGUAAUUAAUUUGCAAUAAUAAUAAUAAUAAUAAUAAUUAUUAUUAUUUUUGAGAAGGAGUCUCACUCUAUUGCUUAGGCUGGAGUGCAGUGGCACGAUCUUGGCUCAUUGCAACCUCUGCCUCCCGGGUUCAAGUGAUUCUCCUGCCUCAGCCUCCUGAGUAGCUGGGAUAAUAGGUGCCCACCACCACACCUGGCUAAUUUUUGUAUUUUUAGUAGAGACAGGGUUUCACCAUGUUGGCCAGGCUGGUCUUGAACUCCUGACCACAGGUGAUCCGCCCACCUUGGCCUCCCAAAGUUCUGGGAUUACAGGUCUGAGCCACUGUGUCCAGCCUGCAAUUGUAAUUAAAAUUCCAAUGUUGUCAAGGGUUUUCUAUGGGGAAAAAAGUUAGAAUGGUUUCAGGUUAUCCCUAAAGCAGCCUCUUGCUUACUCGGAUUCUGGGAUGACUUAUGGGAUGGAGAAAGGAGUGGAGUCAGUUCCCUGAAGUUGUGUGUGUUCUGGGUAUACCCAUGGGAGCGUGUUGUGCAUGUGAUGUGACUGGACAAAGUGGAGAAUUCUUGCCCAAAAUGAUGUUCUGUUUUUACUCUGGAAUCAGUGUGUCUCGUGAGACAGCUAGAGAGAUGAUCUUGUGGAAUUUCCCACAGAUCAGUGUUCCUUCCUGGCCAAGGCCCCCAUGUUGACCCCUGGGUUCCCCACUGAGCACCAGGCUAUCUCACCGACCUAUGGGAUUUCCUGCAAACACUUCUUCUGUCUCCAGUGGGUCGCUCACACCUUCCGAAUUGACUGCCAGGAUACGGAACUGGUCGUCCGCCGUUGUCCUUCGGGGCCUUCCACUUCAUGUGCACACAACUACCUGAGAGCUCCAGGAACUCCACCCGGCCCUGUGGGGGCUUCGGACGGUCUGGGGACAGAGAACAACUUCAGAAUGGGGCUUUGGAAUAAAGGAUCAGAAGGGCCUCCUCCCACUCUCCAAAGGUCUGGCCAGGCUAGGGCAUAGCCGGAUUAUGAGCUUUUUGGAUACCUUGCCCCUCCCUGUGUCCAUCACCCCUCUUUCUAAGACUUGACCAAAGAGAUUGAUCCUUGCCCCCCUGAAUCUCCCAUCUGUCUAGCAAAGGGUAGACUAGAGAACUUAGGGGCCCCUACCCUUAGCUGAUCUCCCUGUUCCCUUACAGACAAGUUCUCCCCAUCUUCUGAGCUUUGAGAACACCAGUGCUUUCUAGUACCACUAUUUACCUUAUGUUAUAAUUAUAGUCUGUCUACCAGUUUCACCCCUUUUGAAUUGAGAAACUGUUGGGGAUACUUCAUGUCUGUGUACCCAGCAGUGAGAACACAGCAGAGGUGCUCUGUCUUGCUGCUGAAUUGAAUUGAAACUCAAACCGUCCCAUCCUACAGCUCGUUGGAAAUGCAGGUGGAGGAGGUGGUGAUGGUAUGUAUGUGACGUGUUGAAUGUAAGUACACUCAGGCCAGCUCCUCAUCUUUCCUUAUAUCAUCAUGUUCAUACCAAUUCCUAAUUCCAUUGGAAAUCCCCAUUCCAUCUUUCCCACCUUAUUUUAUCCCCAGCCCUAUCUGACCUCCCACCUCACCCUAGUUCACUUUCAAACUCACUAUUCUUUCCAAUCAAGUUCACCUCCAUCUCUGAAUCCUACCUCUCGUCUUUUUUGUUGUUUCUUUUUGUUUUUGUUUGGAGAUGGAGUCUUGCUCUGUCACUAGACUUGAGUGCAGUGGUGUGAUCUUGGCUCACUGCAACCUUUGCCUCCUGGGUUCAAGUGAUUCUCCUGCCUUAGCCUCUGAGUGGCUGGGACUACAGGUGCACGCCACCAUGCCCAGCUAACUUUUUUGUAUUUUUGUAUUUUUUAGUAGAGACGGGGUUUCACCAUGUUGGCCAGGAUGGUCUCGAUCCCUUGACUUCAUGAUCUGCCCUCCAUGGUUUCCCAAAGUGCUGGGAUUAUAGGUGUGAGCCACUGUGCCCAGUCAUGUUUUUGUUUUUGUUUGACACAGAAUCUUGCUCUGUUGUCCAGGCUGGAGUACAGUGGCCUGAACCUGGCUCACACAACCUCUCAAAUGAUUCUUGUGCCUUAGCCUCCUGAGUAGCUGGAAUUACAGGUGUGUGCCACUAUGCUUGGCCAAUUUUUGUAUUUUUAGUAGAGACCAGGUUUUGCCAUGUUGGCCAGCCUGGUCUUGAACUCCUGACCUUAAGUGAUCCAUCGCCUUGGACCCCCAAAGGGCUGGGAUUAUAGACGUAAGCCACCAUGCCUGGCCAGUCCCACCUCUCUUUCAUCUCAUUUCCACCUUACCUCCUACCAAGUUCUCAUCUCCAGUCAAUAACAGUACUUAAGUAACAUAUCUGAAGGUAUAUUAUGUCCUGUGUUCUUGGCUGUGCCCUUUAAAUUCACUAGAAAUGGAUACUAGAUAAAAAGAUCACCUUGUUCCAGGCAAGAAACUGAGGCUUAGAGAGGUUCACUCAGCCAAGAGCUAGUUGGGAAGUUAGAAAGGGCUUCGGCUGCAAAGCCAGCCUUCUAGGCCCAUUCCCAGCCCAAACUUCAACUCUAUCUCUGGCCUCCUCCUCAGCCUGCCUUCCACCCUGAGUCUGGACAGCAGGUGCCCUCAGCUCAGCUCAGCCUGGCCCAGCCCUGCCCUUACCCAGCAC